AUUUGAAAUCUGGCGGCUCUGCCGUCCGAGUUGUAUUCUGGAGAAGCGUCUUCCGCGCCGGACCGUGUACAAGUGCCUUGGAACAGGACGUCAUAGAGGGUGAGAAUCCCGUCUUUGACACGGACCCCCGGCGCUCUGCGAUGCGCUCUCGAAGAGUCGAGUUGUUUGGGAAUGCAGCUCAAAACGGGUGGUAAAUUCCAUCUAAAGCUAAAUAUUGGCGAGAGACCGAUAGCGAACAAGUACCGUGAGGGAAAGAUGAAAAGCACUUUGGAAAGAGAGUAAAACAGUACGUGAAAUUGUUGAAAGGGAAACGCUUGAAGUCAGUCGCGUCUGCCGGAACUCAGCCUCGCUUCUGCUUGGCGCACUUUCCGGUCCGACGGGCCAGCAUCGGUUUCGCGCGGCGGACACUGGCGGGGGGAAGGUGGCGGCUCCGGCCGCGUUAUAGCCUCUCGCCGCGAACGUCGCUCGGGACCGAGGAAUCCGGCGCGAGCCUGGGAUGCUGGCGUAAUGGCUUUAAACGACCCGUCUUGAAACACGGACCAAGGAGUGCUACGUGCUCGCGAGUGUUCGGGUGGAAAACCCGGGCGCGCAAUGAAAGUGAAAGUCGAUACCCCUCGCGGGGGCACCGACGCCCGAGCCCGAUGUUUUCGGACGGCCUUGCGGUAGAGCGAGUGCGUUGCGACCCGAAAGAUGGUGAACUAUUCCUGAGGAGGGCGAAGCCAGAGGAAACUCUGGUGGAGGCUCGUAGCGGUUCUGACGUGCAAAUCGAUCGC
rnacentral:rRNA from 1 species